GACAAAAGCCACACCAACGCAGCAUUAAUCACUACUUAGCAGUGGGCCUCACUGUCACUGCUUCUGGCUAAACACUUCUGCUAGAGCACAGACAGCCACUGUAUUCCAGCUGAAUGACUACAAGGAGGAUAUCAUGUGAAACUAUCAGCUGUGCGCCACAGCAAAAAAGGCUGCCCACUGCUCCGGGUGUGUGUUCACGGUGUGUGUACUUGGAUGGAUUAAAUGCAGAGCACAAAUUCCGAGUAUGGGUCACUAUACUUGGCCACACAUCACUUCACUUUUUUUUCUUUAAUUCAUCCACACUGGAACAUCAACAACCUGCAACUUUUCACUUUCCAUUACACCCAUUAGGUACUCUAUAAGGUUUAGUUCCAGCCUCAGGACAGGCCAUUCCCACACUGAUUUUCUUUUUGGUAAAUUAUUAUUCAAAGGUGGCUGACGUGUUUGGAAUUACUAUCUUGCUGAAAGAUCCACUUCUGCCAUUUCUUUACAGACUUCAUGUUUGCAACCAAAAUGCCUUCGUACAAAAUAACAAAAAGCCUCUGAAUUCAUAAUCACAUCAGUGGAAAAAGGUUCAUAGAUAUCAUUGCGCAAAAGAAAAAAGAAAUAAAACAGCUCUAGACUUUACAGUAUCCACCUCCAUGCUUUACAAUACCCUUAGUGGCAUUUGGUCGGAGGUCUUCUCCAGACUUUAUCUACACAAAGAAUCCAUCAUCAGACCCAUACAGGUUCAAUUUGAACUUGUGUGAAAACAAGACUGUUCUCCAUAAGUGCUGUCUUUAUGUACAUAUUAUUUGGAAAAUUUCACCCUGGCUUUUAUGAUCUUUAAGCUUAUGAUAGGUUUUUGGCACAUUAUGCUCCCUAUUUUUGUGGUCUGUGAGCUUAGUUGUAUCCGAUAUCCCUCACUGAACUCAAACAAUGCUUGAUGCUGUUCCUUACCCGUGUUUUUUUCUUACUUUACCCAGAAUUAUGCUGUCCAGACUGUUUGUGGUAAACCUCGGUCUGCCUAUUCUCAAUCACAAGUCCCUCCUCUCUCUCUCUCUCUCUCUCUCUCUCUCUCUCUCUCUCUGUCUGUCUCUUUUUUUAAUAAUAUAGCCGACUGUGGACAAUCAGUUUUUUGCUAAUCAGAAGAAUAGAGUUGCCUUGUUUAUUCCAACAGACAAUGCUAGAGUGUCACUUUUCAUCCAUUCUUGGGGUAAACUUUAAACCACUUGUCCCAAACCAAUUUAUAGAAGACAUUUGCAGUAAAUUAGCUUCACAGGUGCAGAUGAUAACAUUAAUUAGGGGUCUGUUCCAGCAUGCGAGUGCUGUGCAAUUACUCUAGAUUAAUUAGUUAAAUAUGGUAAAAUGACUGUUGUUGACCUAAUUAUAUUGUAUCUUCUUUUAUUUGUGACCCAAACUGCUACUCAACUUCUGGCAAUAUCAUAUGUAAAGAUCUAUGAGGAGGUACAUGAAAUUGUUUUAGCUAAUCCAUCAGCUAGCAUCAUGUUAAGGAAACUAAAAACACACAUUGCUCAGGUAAAGUGCCAGUGUUGAACUUAGUGAACUGAAAAGACUAUUAUGACUAAAGGCAACAAGAAGCAAAGUAUAAUUUAUUGAUCAUCCUUGAGUGAAUUAUUUAAAUAAACACCUAUUGAGUUAGCAUAAAAUUUAGCUUGUUAUUAAAAAAAAGAGCUGAAGUGAAGGGUAGUAGUUGUGUGUGCCCCCUCAAUAAAAUGGGUACAUGGUGCUCUUGGUAAAGAUAAUAAUAGGGUUUUAACAAGCUGCAAUUUUAGACCUCACCACAGACAGUAUGUACAGGUCAUUUAAACUUCAUACACUUAGAUCACGUCAUACUCUAACCUGCUCUUUAGUUGAUGUGUCAAAAGCAGGCAGUAAACAAGUAGAUACUGAGUGUGUGCUGCUGUGUAAAACUGAACUGUUGGUGCAUUGAACACUCAGUUCCUCUCUGCUGCAGCAAGUGGAAGAAAUGCAAUAUAACAUCACUUCACAUUUGGAGAGGAAUAAAAUGGAAGGUCCUGCCCAGUCAUAAACUAAUCAAGCUGUUCUUAAUCUAAUCAAGCUGUUCUCAGAGGAGUUGGAUUGAAGGUUCGAGGGAAAUGUCCAAGCAGCAUCACAAACCUUGAUGGAGCAUUCAUGAGGAACACCUGGAAAAACUGAUUGCACAUAUGAAGUGAACUAUAAAAACAGAGUUUAAUUGCUUUUGGGUAUUGUUGUUUUCCUCAAAAUAAACCUGGUAGUCUUUUA